rnacentral:rRNA from 1 species
ACAGGUGCUGCAUGGCUGUCGUCAGCUCGUGUCGUGAGAUGUUGGGUUAAGUCCCGCAACGAGCGCAACCCUUAUCAUUAGUUGCUACGCAAGGGCACUCUAAGUGAGACUGCCGGUGACAAACCGGGAGGAAGGUGGGGAUGACGUCAAGUCCUCAUGGCCCUUAUGGGUAGGGCUUCACACGUCAUACAAUGGUCGGUACAGAGGGUUGCCAAGCCGCGAGGCGGAGCCAAUCCCACAAAGCCGAUCGUAGUCCGGAUUGUUCUCUGCAACUCGAGAGCAUGAAGUCGGAAUCGCUAGUAAUCGCAGGUCAGCAUACUGCGGUGAAUACGUUCCCGGGUCUU